rnacentral:rRNA from 1 species
GACGAACGCUGGCGGCGUGCUUAACACAUGCAAGUCGAACGGUGAAGCGCCUUCCUUUUUGGUGGGUGUGGAUGAGUGGCGAACGGGUGAGUAACACGUGAGUAACCUGCCCCCUUCUUCUGGAUAACCGCAUGAAAGUGUGGCUAAUACGGGAUAUUCUGGGUCUGUCGCAUGAUGGGUCUGGGAAAGAUAUUGUUUCGGUGGGGGAUGGGCUCGCGGCCUAUCAGCUUGUUGGUGGGGUGAUGGCCUACCAAGGCGGUGACGGGUAGCCGGCCUGAGAGGGGGGACGGCCACACGGGGACUGAGACACGGCCCAGACUCCUACGGGAGGCAGCAGUGGGGAAUAUUGCACAAUGGGCGCAAGCCUGAUGCAGCGACGCCGCGUGAGGGAUGGAGGCCUUCGGGUUGUGAACCUCUUUCGCCAGUGAAGCAGGCCUGCCUCGUUUGUGGGUGGGUUGACGGUAGCUGGAUAAGAAGCGCCGGCUAACUACGUG